GGCGGCGGGUGCCAUGCGUCUGGAGCUUCACAUUCUCUGCCCCCCACCCACCGCGCCGGCGCUCCCUUGUCACGCCUCGGGAAGCGCGCACCUGCCAAGCAGGCAAGAAAGAACCCUCAAGUGGAUUGCCUCUGGCAGUUGGAGCCACACCGGUGUUCUCAGAAUACACCCUGUCCUUUCCAAUUUCCUUCAUAUGCGGUAACCACCAACAGUCUUGGAGUAACAAGUCUUAAAUUCUGAUUCUCAGUCGGCUAAAGUUUCCAAGAUUACUGAGAAAGAAGAAAGUACUGAGGAGCCUUAUGAUGAAUAAUCUGAUAUCAUGUGAAAUGAGGAAAUAAGAAGCUUUCUGCUGACUUCAUUUUGACCCAGGGUCCAAAAGGUGAUGUAAUCCUGUGGCAAGAAGAUUCAAAACUGUGGACUAUCUUGCAAAAAAUACAAGAAGAUAUUGAAAGUUUUCAUGAGUGCCUACCACCUAAUCUCAAACACUAUCAUUCAUAUGUGCCUCAUUGAGCAAAUCUUUAAUGAGGAUCUAUAUGCCAGAUAAUGUAGGCAUUGUUCCUAAGUCAUGCAGAGGGGUUGUGUAAGCAUGGUCAUUUGCAUCAUUAUCCUGCACGUCUGAUACAGCCAAACUCCACGCCACCUGGUUUGCUCAACAGCAAAAGACACGGCCGGGUGCGGUGGCUCACCCCUUUAAUCCCAGCACUUUGGAAGGCCGAGGCGGGCGGAUCAUUUGAGCAAUAUCUUUUGCUUGGGAGCAGAAACAGAAAGUACAUGAUGGACUUCAUUGAAGGAUGGAGAUUUGGAAGACAUGAAUGGAUGAAGAACCAAGUGCGUGAGGGCACCUAUCAGGAUUAUUGCUGAAAUCCUUAUGGAGUUAACUGGCUGAGAGGAAGUAGAGAUGGGGUUUCACCAUGUUGCCCAGGCUGGUCUCAAACUCCUGAGCUCAGGCCAUCUGCCCGCCUCGGCCUCCCAAAGUGCUAGGAUUACAGAAGGUGCCUGCUUCCCCUUCACCUUCCACCAUGAUUGUAAGUUUCCUGAGGCCUCCCCAGACAUGUGGAACUAUGAUUAUUUCAGAGGAUCUGACUGCUCUUCAUCUUCAUGAAUAACUUUAAAUACAUUAAUCCAGUUAGCCUCACAACAACCCUCAUUUUACAGACUAGGAAACUUUUGUCAGUCAUGCUGAAUUACUUUCUCAGGCUCUCACAGCUAGUAUCUAAACUCAGGUGUGCCUGUCUCACACUUAUAUUCUCUACACAAUAGUAAACAGCAGGAUUUGUAGAAAUGUAGGCUAGAGAAAUUGUAAUUUGUAUUAAUUACAUGAUUGUCAUUUGUUAAAACCUCAGCUGCUUCACAGAUGAUUUCUUAGAGAAAAGUAUACUAUGACAGUAAACACAAUGUGUUUCCGAGGUUCAUAAGACUGUGAAAUGAUACCAGGUGACUGUUGGUUUCCGUCAUUACAAUAUUGUACAUUAAAAUGAAAACAUAUAAGUGAAGUUACUGCUAUUUCAAUUGUAUUUCUUUACAUUUUAUCAUCAAACCUUCCUAUAGCCUUAUCUUUUGUUCAUUUGAACUGCUUUGCUAUACAUCUUUUUACUAUCCAUAUCAUCUAUUAUAUCUUUAAAGAUACCAUAAUAUUUUUAUAUUAUAUUAUUAUGUUUUUAAAAGAUACUUAAUCUUUCUUCUUUUAGCCACAUUGGUGUGACUCUCCUCCUAACACACUCUUUCCACAUAAGCCUUCUGAAAAACAAGACAUUCACUCAUAGUGAAUGAUCAAUGCAUAGCUUGCUCAGAGCAGGGUACACAUUUUUGAAAUUAUGAAGGUGAGUUGUAGUAAAAGAGAUAAUUUAAGUUGAAUAUGAUAAUUUGAUAGAAUCUGGUACUGAUUGUCAGCUUUGAAGACCUUGUACCACAGAAUCAGACUGCAAAAUCUUAGAGUGAUAUUCUUCCAAUGAGCCACUAGCAAUCAGAGAGAGGUUUCUGGGGGCCCUCGUACUUUCUGUUUUAUGUAUUUGCAGAUUUGGAUCAAGAGCAGAGGGUUAGUAAGCCUUAAUCAAGAAAGAAAAAAAACAAAUACAUGGAAAUCUUAAAUUGAAUUCCAACAUGAAAAUUAUGGCACAGUUUAUACAACUUUAUGAUAUCUCAGUUGCAUAAAAUUAUACUUCACCCUUCAAAUAAUGACAUACAAUUAAAUGAGGUCUAUGGCAAGUACUAUCAUAUAGAACGUGAUCCCUACAAUGUUUAAUCAUUCACAAAGCAUUGGGAGGUGUCUUGGGGCCUAGCCCAGUGAAAAGAGCAAAGGUUUUGAAACAGCCAAAUCUAGAAUUUCACAUGAGCUCUUCCAUGGAAUCUUGGCCAAGUUACUGAAUCAGAUUGAACUCGGCUUUAUCACCCGUAAAAUGGCUAUUGCUAGUAUUAGUAAUGACACAUACAAAGUGUUUGGAAGGAGAGCUUUGUACAUAAUGCUCAAUAAACUCAAGUUUUACCUGAGGCACUUCACACAGUACACAACAGUGUUCUUAAAUUAAAUUGAAUUGAUUAUAAGGAGAUCAAGUGUUCAUAUUAUCUAAUCUUCCAACCAGAGCGGACAAUUGAAAAGAUGUAUUUCCUGCUAAUACAGUACUUACUUUCCCAGGAGGCUAGACUGGGCAAACUUUAGCAAGAAAUGUCUCCAUAUAUAGUGUACAAAAAAAUCUCCCUCUAGUUUAUGAAUCCGUGUUGUCACAAAACAUUUAUUUAUUCAGUGUUUAGAGCUUUUUUAAAAAUAAAAAAUAAAAAAACUACAGUGACCUUAUUAGGUUAGGUAAUAGAUAUUUUAACCAAUUUGAUUUAAAUUGUUAAUGGUGUCGUCUAGGAAUUUAGGGGAGAACAGUCAAGAAAAAGAAAGAAACAGGUAAUAGUUGUUGCAUCUCAAUGCAGUUCAGAAAACAUGAGUAGGUCCACCAGCGUGUGGUAGCAGAGGAAAUUCUCAGGCACCAGUUGAAAGUAAAAGCUUGGUAUUUUAUAGUUUCCUUUUGUAAGAACUCAAGUUUUUGUUGAGUUGCAUAUUUUAUAUUUUCUGGAAUUUUGGUGUCAUUUUAUCCAUAGUUAAUAAUAUUGUUUCACCAUAACUCCUCUUUGAUUAUGUAACCAGCAAAGUUUCUAACAAUAAAGCAUAUUUUAGGGGUACAUACCUUCCUCUCAGUCAAUGUAUAGAAAGUAUUACAUUAUGUAUUAAAACCUCAGUGCCAUGACAAGAUAGUCAACAUCUUUAGUCAUCAGAAAAAUACAAAUCAUAACUACAAUUGUGUGUGUGUACUUAUCAAAUUGUGUACUUUAUAUAUAUGUAAUUUAUUUUAUAUCAAUUAGACCUCAUUAAAGCUAUUUUUAAAAUAUUAUGUGAAUUUUGCAGAAAAUGAAAAGAGAAACCCCUGACCUCAGCUAUCAGGUUGGCUACAUUAACUGCCUGCCUCUUUUGCAUCAUCAGCUACUUCCUGGCUAUGGGCAAGUGUGAUGUUUUUUUACUGGACUGUAAGGACCUUCAGAGUAGAAUCCAUGUUUAACUCAACUGAGUCUUCCUUCAAACUCUCUCACUAAGUAUUCAACUGUUGUUUUUUAAAUGAAACAUAAAUUGCUUGGAUAGUUUUUGGUGAAACAUUUCAGAAAACAUUUCUACCUAAAUUCCCUAAUGAACCUUUACGAUUUUUUGAACUAUGCAUGGGAGGCAGCAUAUCUUCAUGCUUAAGAACUUUAAAGUCAGUGAUUUGUUCAGCUACUUACUAACCACCUGACCAUAGAUAAAAUUAUCUCACCUCUCCAGGCCUCAGUUUGCUCAUUUCUAAAAUGGGACUGUAAAGGACCUGUCUUGGAUUUUCUGAGAGGAUUAAAUGAUAUAACCCAUAUAAAGUACAUGGGCCAUAUUUAGCACUCAAUAAAUACUUGUUGUUUUUGUUGUGUUGUUAUUGCUUUCCAUAUCCCUAAUAUAUUGUAGAGAAAUAAAGAAUCUAAAAAUUCGGGUUAUUAUGCAUAGUAAGCAUACAAGAACUGUUAGCAGGGAAAAAGACAAGUGAAUUAAUACACUGACCGUUACAAAUUUUUGAAAGUUUACGAACUCCAAAGACUGAAAUAUUCCAUCUUUCAUCAGGAGAAAGAAAACGUGAUGAACAAGUUACCUGAAUCUUACAGGAGGGAUAGCUCUAAACUGACAUUAAAGUUACCUGCAUAUUAGGCUUUUUAGAAUCACACAAUUAGAGAAAUUUAAUUUAUUGGAAGAAGCAAAAGGGUUUUAACACCUUAUAGUCUUCUCAGUACAUUUUGAUUCUUGCUCUUAGACCUUUUCAUUAAAUAAGAAAAAUUAAAAACCUGCUGGUACGUAGAGAGGCUAAAGUUGCAAACAGCUCAUUUACUUUCUCCCUACCCUUCACACUGAAGUUCUUAAAUGCAGAAAUCCUGUUCUCCUAUUUGUUUGCAAGUUUUCUCUCUAGUGAAAAAUACUUCAUCAUUUUGUCCUUGGGGAAUUCAUUAAACAGAAUGUGGAAAAAUGUAAUCUUUAGGGAGUUUUGCUGUGAGUACUCUCAGUAAAUACAGCACAAGCCAAGAGACUCUACAGAGACCUGACCUAGAGUAGACGAAGCCUGGGCCAUUGUCAGAUAAUCAUUUCCUUGAGCUUUGAGGCAGUCACUUAAUUGUUUUGUCACCUCUGAUUUUUGUAAUAUUGGGCCUAAUUGCAUCUCCCUGAUUUGUGGGGAGUGUUUAUAAAAUAUGUACAAUAAUUAUUAUCAUUAAUAAACUGGAUUAUUAAUCCCCUCCAAAAAUAAUGUGCCAACAUGUCAAUAAAAUUUACACCUUAUCCUUUAA
rnacentral:lncRNA from 1 species